rnacentral:lncRNA from 1 species
UGAGCUAGCGAAGCGGCAAUGUUAGUUUAGAUAGCCUAAUAUGGCACACAAUGCAGAGGAAGACUCCAGCCUUCAUCCCCACGACCACCAGAGGGCUGAAGAAGACCCCCUAGCAACAGCCGGCGCAACCGCAGAAGUUACAGGAGGUGCCCUGUAUACCCAGAACUGGAAUCUCAUAUAAGGAGACUGUGAGGGGGGGGUUGCAUGCACCGUUGGUGGAGCAGGAGACUCCCCCCCGGCCGCCCAGUGCUGUUUUGCUUACUUGUGACUUGCUCAAUUAUUUUAUAAAUUGGAAUUGAUGCAACCCGGCCCAAGUGGUGGUCAAUUUGUCACGUUUACCUAUAACAGCACUGUCCUAGCAGGCACUGAGCUACCACUGACCUCACAACCACAAAGAGCAGCCAUGGGCCUAGCACUGGCCUAUCAGGCACUGAGACACAAGUGACUCUCAACCACAAACAUCAGCCAUGCACCUAGCACUGGCCUAUCAGGCACUGAGCCAGAAGUGACCUCACAACCACAAACAUCAGCCAUGGGCCUAGCACUGGUCCAUCAGGGACUGAGCCACAAGUGACCUCACAGUUGAAAACAGCAGCCAUGGGCCUAGCACUGGCCUAUCAGGCACCCCCCCUCCCUCUCUUCCCCAGCUCUGGACCUGGUGAUGGCUGUUCUGUACGCAGUGAUGCCUCAAACACUGAACCCCCUUAUCCACAGCAUGAGGAACAAGGAGCUCAAAGGCGCACUGAAGAAACUGGUUCAAUGGGUACGAUGUCAGAGCCAAUAACUAUCCCAUGUCCAUUCACAGCAAUUCUGACAGCAAGGCUCUGUGUUAUUCAUUUCUUUUCUUUUCUUUUUUUUUUCCCCUCUGGUACAUUCUUGUAAAAAGAAAAAGAAGUUUUGGUUCAUACCGCUUAUCCUCAGGAAUCUCUUAUUUGAAUCUGACCCAGAGACCAUGUUGAACCAGGAAUCCAGGCUUCCCCCUUCAUCAGCAGAGAUGAAGGAACCUCAGAGUCUAUUAGUCUGAGCUCCCUGGAUGCCCCCAGUGCAAUGAGGAGAGUUUCCCUUUGCAGUGUCUCUUUUGGUGCUGUCACCAAGGGAGCUCAGGGGCAGAGAGUCAGGCUCAGACA